GGGAACUAAAGUAGUUUUCUUGAUUAAAUUUGGGUGUAUUAUAUUGGUUCCAGUUUGGUUCACCAGGACAUCCUUGUUAUAAUCAUUACAAUGGUUUUCUAUAUAUUUUCCAAUGGUGUACCUUAACAAAAGUCAAUUGACCAUGUUUCAAAUCCAUUUGCUCCACCCUUUCUCCGACUAUCAUGGUUGUCUCUUUAGGAGCACUUUUUGAUUGAUCAAACAUAUAUUUUUCUGUAAUUCUAUUGUCUGUUGUUGAUUGAUGUAGCAGGCAUUUUGUCAUUAAUCUGUAAUCUUGCUGUAUAAAUGAUUGGUAGGCACCUGCUUUGUUGAAGAAACACAACAUAUGUUAAGUUUUAUAACGGUGUGUGGCAAAUUUUCUUUGUUCU
rnacentral:misc_RNA from 1 species